rnacentral:rRNA from 1 species
AGUGAACGCUGGCGGUAGGCCUAACACAUGCAAGUCGAACGGCAGCACAGUAAGAGCUUGCUCUUACGGGUGGCGAGUGGCGGACGGGUGAGGAAUACAUCGGAAUCUACUUUUUCGUGGGGGCUAACGUAGGGAAACUUACGCUAAUACCGCAUACUACCUACGGGUGAAAGCAGGGGAUCUUCGGACCUUGCGCGAUUGAAUGAGCCGAUGUCGGAUUAGCUAGUUGGCGGGGUAAAGGCCCACCAAGGCGACGAUCCGUAGCUGGUCUGAGAGGAUGAUCAGCCACACUGGAACUGAGACACGGUCCAGACUCCUACGGGAGGCAGCAGUGGGGAAUAUUGGACAAUGGGCGCAAGCCUGAUCCAGCCAUACCGCGUGGGUGAAGAAGGCCUUCGGGUUGUAAAGCCCUUUUGUUGGGAAAGAAAAGCAGCAGGUUAAUACCCCGCUGUUCUGACGGUACCCAAAGAAUAAGCACCGGCUAACUUCGUG